AUUGAACGCUGGCGGCAGGCCUAACACAUGCAAGUCGAACGAGUGGCGGACGGGUGAGUAAUGUCUGGGAAACUGCCUGAUGGAGGGGGAUAACUACUGGAAACGGUAGCUAAUACCGCAUACCAUCGGAUGUGCCCAGAUGGGAUUAGAUAGUAGGUGGGGUAACGGCUCACCUAGGCGACGAUCCCUAGCUGGUCUGAGAGGAUGACCCGCCAACGUGGAACUGAGACUCGGUCCAGACUCCGACGGGAGGCAGCAGUGGGGAAUUUUGAACAAUGGGCGCAAGCCUGAUGCAGCUAUGCCGUGUGUAUGAAGAAGGCCUUCGGUUUGUAAAGUACUUUCAGCGGGGAGGCUUUACCCCCAGAAGAAGCACCGGCUAACUCCGUGCCAGCAGCCGCGGUAAUUC
rnacentral:rRNA from 1 species